rnacentral:rRNA from 1 species
AUUGAACGCUGGCGGCAGGCCUAACACAUGCAAGUCGAACGAGUGGCGGACGGGUGAGUAAUGUCUGGGAAACUGCCUGAUGGAGGGGGAUCACUACUGGAAACGGUAGCUAAUACCGCAUACCAUCAGAUGUGCCCAGAUGGGAUUAGCUUGUUGGUGGGGUAAAGGCGCACCAAGGCGACGAUCCCUAGCUGGUCUGAGAGGAUGACCAGCAACACUGGAACUGAGACACGGUCCAGACUCAGACGGGAGGCAGAAGUGGGGAAUAUUGGAAAAGGGGCGCAAGCCUGAUGCAGCCAUGCCGCGUGUAUGAAGAAGGCCUUCGGGUUGGAAAGUACUUUCAGCGGGGAGGCGUUACCCGCAGAAGAAGCACCGGCUAACUCCGUGCCAGCAGCCGCGGUAAUUC